CGGAAUAUUACUGUAAUAAAAAAUGAUCUGAAGAAAAAACAAUGUGAACAUAACUAUAGCAAAAACAUAUUUACUAACUUAAAAGCGAUAUUUUAGUUGUUACAUUGAUCGUUUAUGUACUGUUAUUAAAAUUAAAAACCUUUGAAAAACUGUUAGUAUAGCAUCAACUACGAUGGCGAUUUUCAAAGUUUUCCGGCAUGAUAAACCGUCUGCAAAAAAACUUAUCAAAGCCGAGACGAUUGCUGAGCUUAUUAAGGCUUCCAAGUCUAAAUAAUCGUGGACAGACAACGAGUAUAAGAUUUAUAUGGAGGAUUUCACUGAAGUAGAUGACGAUGAAAUACUGCAAGAUUUGGCUUCAAAGAGCAAAGAACAACUGGUACUAAUUCUUGAUCCUGAUGGGAUUGAUUGGAAUGGCGAUUUAUCAACAAAAACAGUCAAGUGUCUAAAGAACAAUCUGAGACGGUUACUGAGCCAAGCCCAUCAUCAUCUGAGCCAAGAUCAUCACAGCAAGCUUCUGAUUUAGAUAAUAUUUAUUGCAAAUUGUCAUCUUCGGUGCAAAAAUCACUCCGUACUGGAAAGUUUCUAGACUUCAAUGAAAAGAAAACUCUUAUUCAUGUGGUUGCAAAUUACAUGACAAAUGAUCUCAACGACACCACCCUCACAACGGCAAAGAAAAUGGGUCAUCGAAUAGUUAACAAUUACUCAGCUUCGUUUACAGUGAAAAUUGGAGGUUUUUCUCUAGAAGGAGAAAGUGCGAGCCUUGGACAAAAAAUUCAUGAUUGUAUCAACUACGCCAAGCAAGGUCAUCAUGACAAU